rnacentral:rRNA from 1 species
GUAAGGGAUAUUGCGCGAAUGGACGAAAGUCUGACGCAGCAACGCCGCGUGCGGGAGGAAGGCCUUCGGGUCGUAAACCGCUUUUCGAGGUGAAGAGCGAGGACGGUAGCCUCGGAAGAAGUCUCGGCUAACUACGUGCCAGCAGCCGCGGUAAAACGUAGGAGGCGAGCGUUAUCCGGAUUUACUGGGUGUAAAGCGCGUGCAGGCGGUUGGAUAAGUUCGAUGUGAAAGCGCCUGGCUCAACCGGGCGAGGACGUCGAAGACUGUUCGACUGGAGGCAGGGAGAGGUCUGUGGAAUUCCGGGUGUAGUGGUGAAAUGCGUAGAGAUCCGGAGGAACACCAGUGGCGAAGGCGGCAGACUGGCCCUGACCUGACGCUCAGACGCGAAAGCACGGGGAGCGAACGGGAUUAGAAACCCCAGUAGUCC